CCCUCCUUCAAUCAAUGAAAUUAAUCUUCCUGUGAAAAAGCAGGAAUAAAAUUAUAAGACGAAAAGACCCUAUGGAGCUUUAAACUUAUUACCACUUAUUUAGUUACAUAACAAUUUAAAUAAUAAGACUGUUCUUUAAUAGUUUUCGGUUGGGGCGACCCUGGAGAAAAAUAAAUCCUCCAGAUUGAAAAAUAACCCUUAUAUAAGAACCACAAUUCAAAUAAACAAAAAUUUGACAAAACUGACCCAGAAUAACUGAUCAGUGAACCAAGUUACCCUAGGGAUAACAGCGCUAUCCAUUUUGAGAGUCCGUAUUGACAAAUGGGUUUACGACCUCGAUGUUGGAUCGGGGUAUCCCAGCAGCGCAGCAGUUGCUAAUGGUUCGUUUGUUCAACGACUAACACCCCACGUGAUCUGAGUUCAAACMRGAUCNCCUGUUUACCAAAAAC
rnacentral:rRNA from 1 species